rnacentral:ncRNA from 1 species
AUAAAAGCGCCGAUAGGGAGAAGUAAGUAAACAAAGCUUAUUAGAGAGAACCACAGCCUGCUGAAAGUGGUUUAAGCCUCUUGUUUCUGAAAUGCACCCUUGAGUUCUUUGCUGAACAUAUUGCAGUAGGCAAAGACGGUAUUUCCUCCGUUAAAGGAUAUAAGUUGGGGAUGAUCUGUUUUUGCACAUGAUGGCAAAAAUACUAUGACAUUUCAAACAGAGUGGAACCGCGCUUGAAAAGCGUCUCUGUC